AGGUAAAACUGUCAAAUUUAAAUUGCUGUUAAAGAAAGUACUAUAUAAAAAAAUAUUUAUUACAGAAUUUUAAUUUAAAUUUUAAUAUGACGCUGAUUAGCAACUCUAAAAUUUUAAUAAUCUCCCCUAACCCUUUCAGUUCUUGUCUAACUUAAAAUCCUAGCUACUUUGGCUUCUCAAAUCCUGAAGAUCGAUGCCCCAGUGAUAAUGUCCCUUCUCUUGUAAUUUGUGGGUACGCCUUCACCUUUCUUGCCACCUUCGCAACUUCCUUAAUCUCCCACAAUCAUACCAGUCAAUACCAGGGGUUUGUGCCAUUCUUCACAAUCUACAUCCCAUCCUGUUGGCUUUAUAUCUGCCAGCGAAAUGCAAUCAUUCCCUUCUUUAUGGUCCUGCACUUGCCUGCGAGCUUCCUCCAAGUCCUGAGGGUCGAGUUUUGCAUUCCAGUUGAUUUGAUCAAUGUACAUAUCAGUACUUAGU
rnacentral:misc_RNA from 1 species